UGCGUUCAAGCAACUCUUCUGCCUCAGUCUCCCAAGUAGCUGGGAUUACAGAUCUGAACCAAAGCCAAGCAAAGCACCAUCACCUUCUGGAAAGUGCAGAAACUGCAAUCAAGAUCAACAAAGAAAAGCACCCUUCUCAUAGAUUCAUCUCUUUGGCGUUUAAGUGUUGGGGCGAGUCUACAAAACUCAGAUUCCUCAUUUAACUAGAUGUUCCAGGUCACGGCGAUAUUCUACUGAGGCAAUUUUCAAAAGACCAUAAAACCACCACAUCAAUUUAUGCUUGCAGGCUUUGUUAUGAAAAUAGGUAUAUAUAAUGAAGUGGGCUGCAAGGAAAUUACAUUUUGCAAAUACUCUCCUCUUAUAUCAAAGA